rnacentral:rRNA from 1 species
AUUGAACGCUGGCGGCAUGCCUUACACAUGCAAGUCGAACGGUAACGCGGGGCAACCUGGCGACGAGUGGCGAACGGGUGAGUAAUGCAUCGGAACGUGCCCGGUAGUGGGGGAUAACUGCUCGAAAGAGCAGCUAAUACCGCAUACGACCUGAGGGUGAAAGGGGGGGAUCGCAAGACCUCUCGCUAUCGGAGCGGCCGAUGUCGGAUUAGCUAGGUGGUGGGGAAAAGGCCCACCAAGGCAACGAUCCGUAGCUGGUCUGAGAGGACGACCAGCCACCCUGGGACGGAGACACGGCCCAGACUCCUACGGGAGGCAGGAGUGGGGAAUUUUGUACAAUGGACGCAAGUCUGAUCCAGCCAUGCCGCGUGCGGGAAGAAGGCCUUCGGGUUGUAAACCGCUUUUGUCAGGGAAGAAAUCUUCUGGUUAAUACCUGGGGUCCAUGACGGUACCGUAAGAAUAAGCACCGGCUAACUACGUGCCAGCCGCCGCCGUAACAC